CCUACGGGUGGCUGCAGUGGGGAAUUUUGGACAAUGGGCGCAAGCCUGAUCCAGCAAUGCCGCGUGCAGGAUGAAGGCCUUCGGGUUGUAAACUGCUUUUGUACGGAGCGAAACAGUCUUCUCUAAUACAGAGGGCGAAUGACGGUACCGUAAGAAUAAGCACCGGCUAACUACGUGCCAGCAGCCGCGGUAAUACGUAGGGUGCAAGCGUUAAUCGGAAUUACUGGGCGUAAAGCUGUCGCAGGGAUGCGAAAUCCCCGGGCUUAACCUGGGACCUGCAUUUGUGACUGCAAGGCUGGAGUACGGCAGAGGGGGAUGGAAUUCCGCGUGUAGCAGUGAAAUGCGUAGAUAUGCGGAGGAACACCGAUGGCGAAGGCAGUCCCCUGGGCCUGUACUGACGCUCAUGCACGAAAGCGUGGGGAGCAAACAGGAUUAGAUACCCCUGUAGUC
rnacentral:rRNA from 1 species